UACGGAGGGUGCAAGCGUUAUCCGGAUUCACUGGGUUUAAAGGGUGCGUAGGAGGGCAGGUAAGUCAGUGGUGAAAUCUCCAAGCUUAACUUGGAACUGCCGUUGAUACUAUCUGUCUUGAAUAUUGUGGAGGUGAGCGGAAUAUGUCAUGUAGCGGUGAAAUGACUUAGAUAUGACAUAGAACACCAAUUGCGAAGGCAGCUCGCUACACAUAUAUUGACUCUGAGGCACGAAAAGCGUGGGGAUCAAACAGG
rnacentral:rRNA from 1 species